CUCCAUAGUGAGUGUGUUCUCAUGAGAUAUGACAGUUUAAAAGUGUGUGGCAGUUCCCCCAUCUUGCUCUCUCUCCCGUCACCAGUUAUACACAAGAUGAAUGGAUUAACCACUGGAAGACCUGCACUACUACAAAUGUUAAAGAAAGUCCUUCCAAGAAAGAAAAAAGGCAACUUAAUGGAAACUUGUGUCUACCAAAUGGAAAGAAGAGCAAUGGGAAUCCUAACUACGAGUGUGAGAAAAAAAGUUGAAUGUGGUGAUGGGGAAAACACUGAAGUUCAAAAGAAGCGAAGACAAGAAGCUACUCAUGGCAGCAGCUUUUCCCAUAAAUCAAGAAAUGCUACAGAUUAUAAAUGAGAUGAGACUAUCAAGAAGAGACCUAAUAGGAGUGUGAAGACCAAAAAUUUAAAAGACGUGGUUAUAUACUUUGAGUAAACUCUAUAUAUAGGACAAUGUUAUUGUUUGGUUCUGUGUUCCUCACUCAAAUCUCACCUCAAAUUAUAAUCCCCAUGUGUCAAGGGCAGGACCAGGUGGAAGUAACUGGAUCAUGGGGGAAGUUUUCCUCAUGCUUUUCUCAUAGUAAGUGAGUUCUCAUAAGAUCUGAUUUUUUUAUAAGCAUAUGGCAUUUCCCCUCCUAGCAUUUUGCCUCCUGCUGCCUUGCAAAGACGGCAGUUGCUUCCCCUUUGCCUUCCGCCAUGACUGUAAGUUCCCUGAGUCCUCUCCAGCCAUGUGGAACUGUGGGUUAAUUAAAUCUCUUUCCUUAUAAAUUACCCAGUCUUGGGCAGUUCUUUAUAGCAGUGUGAAACUGGACUAAAAUAGAAAAUUGGUACCAGGAGAGUGAGGCACUGCUGUAAAGACAUCACUAUAAAGGCACCUGAAAAUGGAAGCAACUUUGGAACUAGCUAAUGGGCAGAGGUUGGAACCAUUUGCAGGGUUCAGAAGAAGACAUGAAGAUGUGGGAAAGUUUGGAAAUUCCUGGAGACUUGUUGAAUGCUUUGACGAAAAUGCUGAUACUGAUAUGGACAAUAAAUUUCAGGCUGAGAUGCUCUCAGAUACAAAUAAAGAACUUGUUGGGAACUGGAAUAAAGGUGACUAUUUGCUAUAUAUGCUUUAGCAAAGAGACUGGUGGCAUUUUGCCUCUGUCCUAGAGAUCUGUGGAGCUUUGAACAUGAGAAAGAUGAUUUAGAAUAUCUGGUGGAAGAAAUUUAUAUGCAGCAAAGUGUUCAAGAAGUGACUCGGGUGCUCUUAAAACCAUUCAGUUGUAUGCAUUCACAAAGAUAUGGUUUGGAAUUGGAACUUAUGUUUAAAAGGGAAGCAGAGAAUAAGAGUUCAGAAAAUUUGCAGCCUGAUGAUGCAAUAGAAAAGAAAAAUCUCAUUUUCUGGGGAGAAAUUCAAGCCUGCUGCAGAAAUUUGCGUAAGUAACAAGGAGACAAAUGUUAGUCACCAAGACAAUGGAGAAUAUGGCCUCAGUCAAUGUCGGAUGUCUUCACUGCAAGCCCUCCAAUCACAGGCCUGAAGGAUUGGAGAGAAAAAAUAAUUUUGUGGGCAAGGCCCAGGGACUUGCUGCUUUGUGCAGUCUCUGAACUUGGUGCCCUGCAUCCCAGCUGUGUCUAAUAGUGGCCAACAUACAGCUCAGGCCAUUGCUUUAGAGGGUGAAAGCCCCAAGCCAUGGUGUCUUACAUGUGGUUUUGGGCCUGCAGAUGCACAGAUGUCAAGAAUUGAGGUUUGAGAACCUCCACCUAGAUUUCAGAGGAUGUAUGGAAACUCUUGGAUGUCCAGGCAGAAGAGUACUACAGGGGCAGAGCUCUCCAUGGAGAACAUCUGCUAGGGCAGUGCAGAGUCCCCACUGGGGCGCUGACUAGUGGAGCUGUGAGAAGAAGGCCACCAACCUCCAGACCCCAGAAUGGUAGAUCCACCAACAUCUUGCAUCGUACACCUAGAAAAGUCACAGACGCUCAACAACACCUCAUGAAAGUAGCCAGGAGAGGCGCUGUAUCCUGCAAAGCCACAGAGGCAGAGCUGCCCAAGGCUGUGGUAUCCCACCUCCUACAUCAGUGUGAUUGGAUGUGAGACAUGUAGUCAAAUGAGGUCAUUUUGGAACUUUUAAGACUUAAUGACUGCUUUAUUGUAUUUUGGACUUGCAUGAGGCUUGUAGCCCCUUUGUUUUAGCCAGUUUAUCUCAUUUGGAAUGGGACUAUUUAUCCAAAGCCUGUACCCCAUUGUAUCUAGGAAGUAACUGACUUGCUUUGGAUUUUACAAGCUCAUAGGCAGAAGGGACUUCCCUUGUCUCAGAUGAGACUUUGGACUGUGGCCUUUUGAGUUAAUGUUAAAAUGAGUUAAGACUUUGAGGAACUGUUGGGGAGGCAUGAUUAGUUUUGAAAUGUAAAAAGACAUGAGAUUUGGGAGGGGCCAAGGACAGAAUAAUACGGUUUGGCUCUGUGUCCCCUUCCAAAUUUCACCUUUAAUUGUAAUCGCCAUAACCCCCACAUGUCAAUGGUGGAAACAGGUAGAGGUAAUUGGAUCGUGGAGGCAGUUUCUUCUAUGCUGUUAUUCAUGAUAGCGAAUGAGUUUUCAUGAGAUCUGAUGGUUUUAUAAGCAUCUGGCAUUUCUUCUGCUUGCACUUCUCAUUCCUGCCACCUUGUGAAGAAGGUGCUUUUCUUCCCAUUUGCGUUCAACCAUUAUUAUAAGUUUCCAGAGGCAAACCCAGCCACACAGAAGUGUGAGUCAAUUAAACCUCUUUUUUAAUAAAUUACCACUCUCAAACAGUUCUUUAUGGCAGUAUGAAGACAGACUAACACAGAAAGAUAUAGCUGUUUUGGAAACAUCAGAAGUACAGUUGUAGCAAUAAAUAAAAUAUGAAUAGAUUAACUUUCGUACACCUAUUUGUGUUGAAAGCACCAGGAGUCAUAGCCAACAAUCACUUUAAUAUUUCUCCAGCUAAUUCUUCUGAUUUAUUUUUAUGUUUGGUUAGCCAGUGACUUCCCCACUAGCUAAAAAAUAUUUUUAAAAGUAUGUAUGUGUUAAUAUAUCUUGACUACUUUUUAAUUUUCCAAUUAAAAAAUAAAUCACACUUUAAUCUCUGUGUCUUGAUUUUUCUCAUUUAAGAAGAGCUCAUUGACUUAGGGGCUACAUACUAUAUGACAAGUUACAUAAAUCACAAUUUUCUUAAAUAUUUCCCUAUUGAUGGUUACUCAGUUUUAUUUUUUUUAUUUUUGCCAUUAGUAACAGUGAAGAAAUUAAUGAUCUUGCAUUUAAAUUUUAAGUACAGGUGAUUGGCUUCUUUUUACAACAUUAAAGAGUUGUAAUUGACAUACAAUAAACUGUAAUUAUAUAGUAGG
rnacentral:lncRNA from 1 species